rnacentral:rRNA from 1 species
GAUGAACGCUGGCUACAGGCUUAACACAUGCAAGUCGAGGGGAAACGGCGUUGAGUGCUCGCACUCUUCGGACGUCGACCGGCGCACGGGUGAGUAACGCGUAUCCAACCUUCCCGUCACUGCGGGAUAACCUGCCGAAAGGCAGACUAAUACCGCAUGGCCUUCACUGACGGCAUCAGAGGUGAAGUAAAGCUUUUUAGCGGUGACGGACGGGGAUGCGUCUGAUUAGCUGGUUGGCGGGGCGACGGCCCACCAAGGCUACGAUCAGUAGGGGUUCUGAGAGGAAGGUCCCCCACAUUGGAACUGAGACACGGUCCAAACUCCUACGGGAGGCAGCAGUGAGGAAUAUUGGUCAAUGAGCGGAAGCCUGAACCAGCCAAGUAGCGUGCAGGAUGACGGCCCUACGGGUUGUAAACUGCUUUUAUGCGGGGAUAAAGUGAGGGACGUGUCCCUUUUUGCAGGUACCGCAUGAAUAAGGACCGGCUAAUUCCGUGCCAGCAGCCGCGGUAAUACGGAAGGUCCGGGCGUUAUCCGGAUUUAUUGGGUUUAAAGGGAGCGUAGGCCGGGGAUUAAGUGUGUUGUGAAAUGUAGGCGCUCAACGUCUGAUGUGCAGCGCAUACUGGUUCCCUUGAGUACGCGCAACGCCGGCGGAAUUCGUCGUGUAGCGGUGAAAUGCUUAGAUAUGACGAAGAACCCCGAUUGCGAAGGCAGCCGGCGGGAGCGCAACUGACGCUGAAGCUCGUAGGUGCGGGUAUCGAACAGG